rnacentral:rRNA from 1 species
AGUGAACGCUGGCGGUAGGCCUAACACAUGCAAGUCGAACGGCAGCACAGUAAGAGCUUGCUCUUACGGGUGGCGAGUGGCGGACGGGUGAGGAAUACAUCGGAAUCUACUUUUUCGUGGGGGAUAACGUAGGGAAACUUACGCUAAUACCGCAUACGACCUACGGGUGAAAGCAGGGGAUCUUCGGACCUUGCUCGAUUGAAUUAGCCGAUGUCGGAUUAGCUAGUUGGCGGGGUAAAGGCCCACCAAGGCGACGAUCCGUAGCUGGUCUGAGAGGAUGAUCAGCCACACUGGAACUGAGACACGGUCCAGACUCCUACGGGAGGCAGCAGUGGGGAAUAUUGGACAAUGGGCGCAAGCCUGAUCCAGCCAUACCGCGUGGGUGAAGAAGGCCUUCGGGUUGUAAAGCCCUUUUGUUGGGAAAGAAAAGCAGCAGGUUAAUACCCCGCUGUUCUGACGGUACCCAAAGAAUAAGCACCGGCUAACUUCGUG